rnacentral:rRNA from 1 species
AAACCAGCACCUCAAGUGGUCAGGAUGAUUAUUGGGCCUAAAGCAUCCGUAGCCGGCUCUGUAAGUUUUCGGUUAAAUCUGUACGCUCAACGUACAGGCUGCUGGGAAUACUGCAGAGCUAGGGAGUGGGAGAAGUAGACGGUACUCGGGAGGAAGUGGUAAAAUGCUUUGAUCUCUCGAUGACCACCUGUGGCGAAGGCGGUCUACCAGAACACGUCCGACGGUGAGGGAUGAAAGCUGGGGGAGCAAACCGGAUUAGAUACCCGAGUAGUCC